GCUCCAUUAGUUUAGUGCAUCCGGUUUUCUACCGGAAGACAAGGGUUCGAUUCUCUUAUGGAGUA
rnacentral:tRNA from 1 species